rnacentral:rRNA from 1 species
UACGGAGGGUGCGAGCGUUGUCCGGAUUUAUUGGGUUUAAAGGGUGCGUAGGCGGCCGCGUAAGUCUGGGGUGAAAGCCCGUUGCUCAACAACGGAACUGCCCUGGAAACUGCGCGGCUUGAGUCCAGACGAGGUUGGCGGAAUGGGCGGUGUAGCGGUGAAAUGCAUAGAUACCGUCCAGAACCCCGAUUGCGAAGGCAGCUGACUAGGCUGGUACUGACGCUGAGGCACGAAAGCGUGGGGAGCGAACAGGAUUAGAUACCCUGGUAGUCC